GACGAACGCUGGCGGCGUGCUUAACACAUGCAAGUCGAACGGAAAGGCCUCUUUCGGGGGCUACUCGAGUGGCGAACGGGUGAGUCACACGUGAGUAACCUGCCUUUGACUCUGGGAUAACUUCAGGAAACUGGGGCUAAUACCGGAUAGGAGCUCCAGCUGCUUGGUGUGGGUUGGAAAGUUUAGGCGGUUGGGGUUGGAGUCGCGGCUUAUCAGCUUGUUGGUGGGGUAAUGGCUUACCAAGGCCUCGGCGGGUAUCCGGCCCGGGGGGGUGAGCGGCCACAGUGGGACUGGGACAGGGCCCAGACCCCGACGGGUGCGAGAGGUAGGGAAGAGUGAACAAGGGGUGGAGGCCUGAUGCAGAAACAGCGAGGGCGGGAGGACGGUGUUCGGGUUGGAAUUGUAAUUCGCUCAUGACGAAGCUGUGUGUGACGGUAGUGGGUAAAGAAGCACCGGCUAACUACGUG
rnacentral:rRNA from 1 species